ACAUAAUUUUUUUAUAUUCUACUUAGGUUUCUUCCAAGCGGUGCUUCUCAGAAGCUUUAAUAUUAACAUUUUACAUCGCCUUCAUCAAUCUGGUUAAUUUGCUGGCAUCAGUUGGUGAUCUAGAAGUAACCAAGUUUCUGGAUAUCAGUGCUUUCAGAUGAUGCUUACUUAAUGUUUUAAAAAGCUUACGCCAUCUACCUGUUUUUAGUUAUAACAACAUGAGUGAAGACAAAAUCCCUAAGCAGGCUGGAAUUGGUGAGUUGAUAGACCUAGGAAAGAAUGCUUUGAGCUGCAGUGGAGUACAUGCUUCUAGCAAUGAGAAGGGGAGAUCACAUUUAAACACCAUUGCUGCUGUCAAAGUGAACAAAAAAUAUGUUCUACUCCUUGCUGCUAGUCUAUCAGCUACUGCUUUGUUUAUAGCAGCUUUUAGCAUCCCCCGUCUCAUUGCCAAUGCUAAUCACAUCAAUGACUAUGAUACAGGUCAAAUAAUCCAAGAUAUGAGAGAUUCAACCAUCACUUUACCAUUCAUAUUAUUAAACUCGGCAGUUUUUAUAGUAUCAUUAGCUAUUGUUAUCUCUAUUCUACGCAGUUUUCCUAUGAAGCCGUGGCCUCAGAUUACAGUAUCUAUGUUUUUUAUCUCCUAUAUGUCCUUGAUCAUGAAAAUAUUACCAUGGGCAUCCAUGCUUGUACUUGUGUUUUCCGUCCCAUUACUACUAUUCGCAGCUGCUGGAAAACUGUUCAACUUUCACGAGUGAAGACUUUUGCUGUUCUGCUACUUUGAAAAGGAGGUGAGGACCAUGAUAUAUGAGGAUCUGCUAUGCCAUUUCCAAGUAUUGUUGUUUAACUGCUUUAAUUUAAAUAUACAAGCAACAGCUAAAUCCAAGCCUUUGAGAGUUGUAUAAAGAGUGUUUUUACUAUUGUUGGUAGAUUAUCACAUGUAUGAAUGUACAAGGAUUUGUGUGCUGCAGAAAUGGUAGAUGCACAUACCAGUUGAAACUAUUUUGUCUAAACUCUUGUUAAGAAUAGCCAUUGUGGAUGUGCUGAAUGGAAAACAUCUUCCAACAGAUUACUUUGUUUCAUAAGAUAA